CUUCCUGAGCCCCCGCCCGGGCCGCGGCGGGGGGGGUCCGGAGGUGCUCGGGCAGCUCCCCCCGCUCCUCCCUCCGAAAGCGGCGGUAGGGAGGGAAGCGGAGUGGCAGUCGCCUCAGAGGGAGCCGGGCCCCGCGGCCGGGCGAACUGCUGCCGGGCAGGAGCUCGACCCCGCGGGCGCGGAGAGGGGGAGCUUUUCGUCGGGCCCCGGGGAGAUACACGCUGCGCGCAGCUGCUCGCACGGCAAGCCGCCCCGCAUCAGCUGCCUGGCGGCCGGGGCCCGGCCCUGCGCACCUGCAGCAGCUGCUGCCUUACGUCUCAGAAACUUAACAGCAGGGGAAGGGAGCUUGCGCCCGCAGCAGGGAGGGAGUCCUAGGAAAGUCCCUGAGUGUAGGCAAGGGACUGCGAUAGGCGGGAAGCCGCGGAAAAGCCAUCCCUGGAGCCCGCUGCCUCGGAGCUCCUCGGGAACCUCUCUGGCUGCGGGAGCACUCACCGGGGCAGGAAAAAACGAAAGAAAUAAUUCGCUUUCUUCUCAAAAGUCAGAUCAUCCCGCAGAAGGGUCUCCGAUGUGUGAGAGGGACACCGCCACACUUCCUAUGCAUCUGUUGCUGACGCCAUGAGUGGAAACCAAAAGGAAGGGCAUAGCUGAAACUCCAGCAUGAAAGUGGAAUUCCCAUUUUUGACACAUUGCUGAGAGGAGACAUGCAAAGACAGUGGAAAAGAACUUCAUGGGGCUGGGAAGAACAUCUCAACCUGGAGAACUUCCACUCUGAGACAACCCUGAGCUUCCCUCCACGAAGUGGUAGUAUCCCACUGCAGGUAAGCCUGAAGACAAACUGUUUCUUGCAGGUAAAAAAAAAAAACCCUCACACACCAAUCCUACACGUGGCUUAUGAUGCGUUACCUCACUGGUAGGAUGGAGAAGUCCCCACCCCAACAGGAAAUCAUUGCCGGGGCCAGUUCCAUUACUACCUGUCUGAGGCAUUGCAGCAUGAAGAAAACAGGAAGGCAAAAGCAGACAGUUUUAGAAAUAAGCAAAUAGUUCACUUGGUACGUACACCAGGCUCCCUCUUUCUCCAAAAGUAAUCUCUGUGUGGCACCUCCCUGCUGUCCAUGGAGAAGAGGAGGAUGCAAUUCACAGCAGGGGACUUCAGCAGAAUAAAAUUUGGUAACCCCACUCAGCGCUUUCCAAAUGCUUUCUGCCUUCCCCAUGCCUUGAAGGUGUUCAAGUCAUCUUUGGGUUUGCACGACUGCACAGACAUAUCAAUGCUAGUUAGCACACAGACAGAGGUUAAAUGAUUGUUCAUCUGCCAGGGAGAUCAAUAGUGGAAUCGUUACUGCUUUGAAGUCACAGGCUCCCAGGCCUGUGCCCCUUUCAUUAAACCAUCUCUGUCAUAUAGAUGAAUACAAUCCCAGCACAGAGAACCAUCAGUAAACCUUUCAUCCCCAAAGUAGCUAACUACAGUAAACACUAAGAGUGUUUUGCUUGCACUUUUGUUCAGCUUUAGCUGGAAAGUGGGUUGAAGCAUGGAGAGAAAUAAAAGAAGAAAAAAGAAGAAAAUGGGGUUAACUAUAAGUUCUACCUUUGUUACACAUACCAACCUAGUAUCACCUAUCAAAGUCAUUUGUCCAGCAAAAGGAUACACAAUGUCCUGAUAUUUUGCAUGAGUCCUCGUCUGUCUCAGAACGCUCUCCAGCAAGGUCUGAACAGUCCCUGCCUGCACUGGCUCCAUCUGACGACAACUGCUCUGAAUCUGAGCCGUGAGAAGAAGGAAUAACUUCCAAACCACCAGCAAACUAUUGGGUUUGUUCCUUCACACCUCCCUCCCUCAUCUCCACACACAGCAAUGAAACCUUCAAACUACUCUGGGGAAAAUCAAGGGGCUCAUGACAAUACUAAUGACACAAUUUAAGCAGCUGCUGGCAUCACUCACUUAUCCAUUCCACCGUACGUCCCUCACAGCAGCAGGCCAAGCUAGCAGCUGUAUGAUUCCCCAUCGCCUUACUAUAACCUCCUUAAAGGAAGUUUAUGGCUCCCCAACAAAGGCAGAAGCAAUCCUCUAAGAAACUCCAUUCUCAUUUUCCUAGACAGCCACUGCACUCUUACCUGACGAAGAAAGAGAUGAAGAGCACGACACGUGGCCUCAGGCAGCUCCGAUAACUUGGCUUCUGCUGCCUCCUGGAGAAUCUGGCUUAUUUCUUUUUGAGAAAUAAUAUUGCUGCUCUGGUAUUUCACAAACUUGAACAAAAGGCAAAAGAAAGGCAAUAAAUAGUGAAUGACCCACAGACUCCAAAAGUGACCCAUCUUCUGGAAAGACCUCCCCUUUGUAAAGAGAUGCUGCAGCACCCAAACCGCAGGCCUGAUUUUUACACCACUUUUAACAGAACUGGUGCAAAUACCCAUAUUGACAUUGUUCUGACUUAUACCUAGACUUACUUUGGUUUAGGUCAGGAAGGAACUGAACUGAACCGGGCCACCUCUUAAAAGUGAAAUAAUAGUAAGAAAGGCUUGCAAGCCCAUCAUGUAUUUGGAAAGAGAAGGUGCAUAUUAAUAACCCCUUCCUCUCAUCCACUGCCAUGAAAGCUUUACCUUGAGUAUUUCUACUGGGCAGGACCACAAUCCCUCUCUUGCUGCCAGGCCUCCCCGCAGCUAGGUAGUAGACUGUGGUAAUUCCCUGACCUGAAAUGUCAGGUCCAUAAGGCCAAGGAGUGGGAGAGAAGCUGUGAUGUCAAGAAGAGCUCUGUUCUUCAAAGAACCAUAGCAUGCCCCCCGUCUGGCAACAGUGGUUGCACAUUCUCUGUAGCCUCCCCCUCUUCUCCCCCGGGGUGCUAGAUGAUGGGAAUAAAUGCUACAAAUACUAGAAGAACAGGAUGUGCUCACUUAGAGCAGUCAGUUUCUGCAGGGUGCAGAAGGGAAGUUAAGAGUGAGUAUGUGUGCGUGUGUGUGUGUGUGUGUGUAGAGGGUAAGUAGAUGAUGUACUUUCCAAUAGCCAACCCACAUGCAUUAUACCAACAUACUUCCAGAAAUGGAGGACAGCCUAUCCUUCCCAUGCUCACCAAAGUCAUGAGCCUGAGAAUUUCUGGCUGCAGAAAGGACUUCCGUCCCCCACUGAAUAGCGUGAAGAGCAGGAACCGGUGCCAGGGCUGUGAGGCGACAUGUAGUGCUGGGAGAGAAGGAGCCAAUCAAAAACAGCUUUAAAAUCUGCCAGGAGAUAGACUGCACCCAGAUAAAGACAGUCUUCCAUACUGACCCCAGUUUUUCUCUCCUAGACCCCAAGCUGUAAAACACCAACAAGGUAUUUUGCUGUGCUCUUAUUUGCUUUUAAAUCUAUCACUCUUUCGGCAAGAGUUCAGUCAUGAGGACAAAAGCUUCAUAGCUUUUUGAAGCAGAAAAUAUGUUCUGUCCAUCUUUAUGCUUUUACAGGAAGAGAAACCUUCUUCUGGAGUGUGUGUCAUAAAAGAGUAAGGGCAUAUCUUUAACCCAGAGUCCAAAAAUAAAAACAACAAAAAAACCCCUCUGGUUUCAAUAUGAGGACGUGUUUCGUGACCAGGGGUUUCAUUUUGCUGCAGAAUACUCUUUGGAGAAAGAAGAAAGCCCUAUAACAUGGGCUCCAUGAUUGGAUCUGCAUCAGAAAGCAUACCAUGGGGAUCAGCUAGGCUGAUGGCAGCAAUACAAGCAAUCAAUAGAGAAAAGGUUCUUUGUAAGAACCACGGAUGAUAUAAAGAGAUAAGGCUCAAGGCCACUGGGUGUAAUAGCAUGAAAUCUCUCACUGAAUGCUAAGUUGUAUCACCUUGUAUUUACUGCAGGUUAAGAACAUGUGAUGGACAAUUACAGCAGAUCAGCUGGUAUGAGAGAACUUGUUAUACCACAGCAACUCACUACCAGGUUUGAGGCCUUUGUUUUGGAAAGGUCACUUUUCCACCGGCAAAUCACAAACCAUCCUAUUGCCAUUAUGACAAUCUCAUCUAUGGAAAAGCAGCACUAACAAAUCAUGUAGAGUGUUUGGGAGGUAUUUUUUAGCUGGUGGAAAUGAGAAGGUACCAGCAGUGCGUACUGAGCCUGCUCUGCAUACCUGAAAAAAUCUCUAGACCAACAAAGACUUUUAAAGAGCCUCAAAUGAGGAAACUUCUGGCAGAGUCCAGGCCACACUCUUUGCAAUGCUGUUGUUUCUUUCAGUCAAACAAAACCAUGAUCCUCAUGCCACUCAGAAUAAAGAGACUCUUGUUA